UUGACAGCAAGUAGAGCUACAUCUAAAGAGGGAACCAGCAAGAUGACAGAACCUCAUCAUUUUUCUGCAACUACUCUGGCAGAUCCAGGAUGAUGGGUUGAGGGUAUCCAGAUGGCGCACUUUUGCAAUGACCAUGAACCUCUUCUUAAUCUAAAGAUGGAUUUACCAUUUCUAGAUGGUGUUUUGACAAGUCUUUCAAAGAGAAACUGAACCAACUUUACACUAAAUAUUGUUCAAUAGAAAGUUCACAUCAUUUGUGAUCAAGCCAAGACUUCAACACUGAGAUGAAGGGACCCCGUUAUAAAAUAGAUGUCCAAUUUUUAAAAAGCCUCAGAUUGAAGUGCUACUUACAUGAAAAGAAAAAUCUGGUUCCUGUACAAUUUUAAUCUAAUAAUAGGACCUGUACCACAUGAACCAAUGGAAAUGAAACAUAAGAUUGACAUGGAGUCAAAAAUGUAUACAUUAGUCUCUUAAUGAUAAUCAGGAAAUAAAAACUAACUAGCCAGAAUGUAUCUUAACUCCUUCAUUUUGAAGUACUUUGUUUUUUUUAAUAAGGAUCACAAAUAAGUCUCAUCCAAUGCUCAAAUCCCUCCAUUGUCUAUUUCUUCUAUAAGUGGGAUAAAUGCUUAGUUGCUGAACCUUGCUUCUGAAAUUCCAUUUGUUUAUGGUAUAUAUAUAUAUAUAUUGACUGUUGAAAGUAGUGCAAACUUACCUAUAUGAGAUAUAAAUGUGGACAAAAAGUUUUUGUCAUUUUUCUAAUAAGCAAAUUUUUAAUAGUUGAAUGUGAUUGUACAUAAGUUGGUAAUAUUAAAGAGAAGAUUGAAUUUAA
rnacentral:sRNA from 1 species